AACACCUGCGCAUGGUCGGCAGCCGGAGGGUGAAGGCCCAGACGUUCGCUGAGCGGCGCGAGCGGAGCUUCAGCCGGUCCUGGAGCGACCCCACCCCCAUGAAAGCCGACACUUCCCACGACUCCCGAGACAGCAGUGACCUGCAGAGCUCCCACUGCACGCUGGACGAGGCCUUCGAGGACCUGGACUGGGACACUGAGAAGGGCCUGGAGGCUGUGGCCUGCGACACCGAGGGCUUCGUGCCACCAAAGGUCAUGGUGAGGCCCAGCCCGGGCAGUGCUCCUCUGCACCCGGAGCAGGACUCUGCCCCAACCCGAGUCCAGCCAGCUCUGCCUGGGACCAUGCAGCCUUCUCCAGCUGCCUGGGGGAGGGUGUCUCACAGGGCUAUACCCUUGGGCUGCCUGGCAGCCAGAAGGUAGCCUCAUGGGGGCUCCCACAGCCCCUUGGCUUUUGGAUGGGCCUGGGGCCCCUGAGCAGCUCUUUGUCUCCGCAGCUCAUUUCCUCCAAGGUGCCCAAGGCUGAGUACAUCCCCACCAUCAUCCGCCGGGAUGACCCCUCCAUCAUACCCAUCCUCUACGACCAUGAGCACGCAACCUUCGAGGACAUCCUUGAGGAGAUAGAGAGGAAGCUGAACGUCUACCACAAGGGAGCCAAGAUCUGGAAAAUGCUGAUUUUCUGCCAGGGAGGUCCUGGACACCUCUAUCUCCUCAAGAACAAGGUGGCCACCUUUGCCAAAGUGGAGAAGGAAGAGGACAUGAUUCACUUCUGGAAGCGGCUGAGCCGCCUGAUGAGCAAAGUGAACCCAGAGCCGAACGUCAUCCACAUCAUGGGCUGCUACAUUCUGGGGAACCCCAACGGGGAGAAGCUGUUCCAGAACCUCAGGACCCUCAUGACUCCUUAUAGGGUCACCUUCGAGUCACCCCUGGAGCUCUC
rnacentral:sRNA from 1 species